rnacentral:rRNA from 1 species
GUUAUAUGGUCAAGUGAAGAAGCGCAUACGGUGGAUGCCUUGGCAGUCAGAGGCGAUGAAAGACGUGGUAGCCUGCGAAAAGCUUCGGGGAGUCGGCAAACAGACUUUGAUCCGGAGAUCUCUGAAUGGGGGAACCCACCUAGGAUAACCUAGGUAUCUUGUACUGAAUCCAUAGGUGCAAGAGGCGAACCAGGGGAACUGAAACAUCUAAGUACCCUGAGGAAAAGAAAUCAACCGAGAUUCCCUUAGUAGUGGCGAGCGAACGGGGAUUAGCCCUUAAGCUUCAUUGAUUUUAGCGGAACGCUCUGGAAAGUGCGGCCAUAGUGGGUGAUAGCCCCGUACGCGAAAGGAUCUUUGAAGUGAAAUCGAGUAGGACGGAGCACGAGAAACUUUGUCUGAACAUGGGGGGACCAUCCUCCAAGGCUAAAUACUACUGACUGACCGAUAGUGAACCAGUACCGUGAGGGAAAGGCGAAAAGAACCCCGGAGAGGGGAGUGAAAUAGAACCUGAAACCGUAUGCGUACAAGCAGUGGGAGCCUACUUGUUAGGUGACUGCGUACCUUUUGUAUAAUGGGUCAGCGACUUAUAUUCAGUGGCAAGCUUAACCGUAUAGGGUAGGCGUAGCGAAAGCGAGUCUUAAUAGGGCGUUUAGUCGCUGGGUAUAGACCCGAAACCGGGCGAUCUAUCCAUGAGCAGGUUGAAGGUUAGGUAACACUGACUGGAGGACCGAACCCASUCCCGUUGAAAAGGUAGGGGAUGACUUGUGGAUCGGAGUGAAAGGCUAAUCAAGCUCGGAGAUAGCUGGUUCUCCUCGAAAGCUAUUUAGGUAGCGCCUCAUGUAUCACUCUGGGGGGUAGAGCACUGUUUCGGCUAGGGGGUCAUCCCGACUUACCAAACCGAUGCAAACUCCGAAUACCCAGAAGUGCCGAGCAUGGGAGACACACGGCGGGUGCUAACGUCCGUCGUGAAAAGGGAAACAACCCAGACCGCCAGCUAAGGUCCCAAAGUUGUGGUUAAGUGGUAAACGAUGUGGGAAGGCUUAGACAGCUAGGAGGUUGGCUUAGAAGCAGCCAUCCUUUAAAGAAAGCGUAAUAGCUCACUAGUCGAGUCGGCCUGCGCGGAAGAUGUAACGGGGCUCAAACCACACACCGAAGCUGCGGGUGUCACGUAAGUGACGCGGUAGAGGAGCGUUCUGUAAGCCUGUGAAGGUGAGUUGAGAAGCUUGCUGGAGGUAUCAGAAGUGCGAAUGCUGACAUGAGUAACGACAAUGGGUGUGAAAAACACCCACGCCGAAAGACCAAGGGUUCCUGCGCAACGUUAAUCGACGCAGGGUUAGUCGGUUCCUAAGGCGAGGCUGAAAAGCGUAGUCGAUGGGAAACAGGUUAAUAUUCCUGUACUUCUGGUUACUGCGAUGGAGGGACGGAGAAGGCUAGGCCAGCUUGGCGUUGGUUGUCCAAGUUUAAGGUGGUAGGCUGAAAUCUUAGGUAAAUCCGGGGUUUCAAGGCCGAGAGCUGAUGACGAGUCGUCUUUUAGAUGACGAAGUGGUUGAUGCCAUGCUUCCAAGAAAAGCUUCUAAGCUUCAGGUAACCAGGAACCGUACCCCAAACCGACACAGGUGGUCGGGUAGAGAAUACCAAGGCGCUUGAGAGAACUCGGGUGAAGGAACUAGGCAAAAUGGCACCGUAACUUCGGGAGAAGGUGCGCCGGCUAGGGUGAAGGAUUUACUCCGUAAGCUCUGGCUGGUCGAAGAUACCAGGCCGCUGCGACUGUUUAUUAAAAACACAGCACUCUGCAAACACGAAAGUGGACGUAUAGGGUGUGACGCCUGCCCGGUGCCGGAAGGUUAAUUGAUGGGGUUAGCGCAAGCGAAGCUCUUGAUCGAAGCCCCGGUAAACGGCGGCCGUAACUAUAACGGUCCUAAGGUAGCGAAAUUCCUUGUCGGGUAAGUUCCGACCUGCACGAAUGGCGUAACGAUGGCGGCGCUGUCUCCACCCGAGACUCAGUGAAAUUGAAAUCGCUGUGAAGAUGCAGUGUAUCCGCGGCUAGACGGAAAGACCCCGUGAACCUUUACUGUAGCUUUGCACUGGACUUUGAGCCUGCUUGUGUAGGAUAGGUGGGAGGCUUUGAAGCGUGGACGCCAGUUCGCGUGGAGCCAUCCUUGAAAUACCACCCUGGCAUGCUUGAGGUUCUAACUCUGGUCCGUGAUCCGGAUCGAGGACAGUGUAUGGUGGGCAGUUUGACUGGGGCGGUCUCCUCCUAAAGAGUAACGGAGGAGUACGAAGGUGCGCUCAGACCGGUCGGAAAUCGGUCGCAGAGUAUAAAGGCAAAAGCGCGCUUGACUGCGAGACAGACACGUCGAGCAGGUACGAAAGUAGGUCUUAGUGAUCCGGUGGUUCUGUAUGGAAGGGCCAUCGCUCAACGGAUAAAAGGUACUCCGGGGAUAACAGGCUGAUACCGCCCAAGAGUUCAUAUCGACGGCGGUGUUUGGCACCUCGAUGUCGGCUCAUCACAUCCUGGGGCUGAAGCCGGUCCCAAGGGUAUGGCUGUUCGCCAUUUAAAGUGGUACGCGAGCUGGGUUUAGAACGUCGUGAGACAGUUCGGUCCCUAUCUGCCGUGGACGUUUGAGAUUUGAGAGGGGCUGCUCCUAGUACGAGAGGACCGGAGUGGACGAACCUCUGGUGUUCCGGUUGUCACGCCAGUGGCAUUGCCGGGUAGCUAUGUUCGGAAAAGAUAACCGCUGAAAGCAUCUAAGCGGGAAACUUGCCUCAAGAUGAGAUCUCACUGGGAACUUGAUUCCCCUGAAGGGCCGUCGAAGACUACGACGUUGAUAGGCUGGGUGUGUAAGCGUUGUGAGGCGUUGAGCUAACCAGUACUAAUUGCCCGUGAGGCUUGACCAUAUAACACCCAAACA